UACGUAGGGUGCGAGCGUUGUCCGGAAUACUGGGCGUAAAGCGUGCGCAGGCGGUUUGCUAAGACAGGUGUGAAAUCCCCGGGCUUAACCUGGGAACUGCGCUUGUAACUGGCAAGCUAGAGUGUGGCAGAGGGGGGUGGAAGUUCCGACGUGUGAGGAUCAGCUGGAAAGUGACGUAAGAGGAUGUGGAGGAACGACCG
rnacentral:rRNA from 1 species